rnacentral:rRNA from 1 species
UACGAAGGGGGCUAGCGUUGUUCGGAAUUACUGGGCGUAAAGCGCGCGCAGGCGGUCCUUCAAGUCAGAGGUGAAAGCCCAGGGCUCAACCCUGGAAUUGCCUUUGAGACUGAGGGACUUGGGUACGGGAGAGGUGAGUGGAAUUCCGAGUGUAGAGGUGAAAUUCGUAGAUAUUCGGAAGAACACCAGUGGCGAAGGCGGCGACCUGGUCCGACACUGACGCUGAGGCGCGAAAGCCAGGGGAGC